rnacentral:rRNA from 1 species
GAUGAACGCUGGCGGCGUGCUUAACACAUGCAAGUCGAACGAUGAAGCCCAGCUUGCUGGGUGGAUUAGUGGCGAACGGGUGAGUAACACGUGAGUAACCAGCCCUUGACUCUGGGAUAAGCCUGGGAAACUGGGUCUAAUACUGGAUAUGACUUCUCAUCGCAUGGUGGGGGGUGGAAAGAUUUAUUGGUCUUGGAUGGACUCGCGGCCUAUCAGCUUGUUGGUGAGGUAAUGGCUCACCAAGGCGACGACGGGUAGCCGGCCUGAGAGGGUGACCGGCCACACUGGGACUGAGACACGGCCCAGACUCCUACGGGAGGCAGCAGUGGGGAAUAUUGCACAAUGGGCGCAAGCCUGAUGCAGCGACGCCGCGUGAGGGAUGACGGCCUUCGGGUUGUAAACCUCUUUCAGUAGGGAAGAAGCGAGAGUGACGGUACCUGCAGAAGAAGCGCCGGCUAACUACGUG